UUGCUCCCCCAUAAGAGGUCCAGCCUGCCCAGUGACUUAGUUCAACGGCCGCGGUACCCUAACCGUGCGAAGGUAGCGUAAUCACUUGUCUUCCAAAUAGAGACUAGUAUGAAAGGCAUCACGAGAAUUUAACUGUCUCCUUUUUCCAAUCAGUGAAACUAAUCUUCCCGUGAAGAAGCGGGAAUCCAAAAAUAAGACGAGAAGACCCUAUGGAGCUUUAAACACUAACCACCUGCCCGACCCUAUAAAACCCCGGUUCCUAAACCAACGCACCAUGACUACGUGUUUUUGAUUGGGGCGACCACGGAAAAUAAUCAAACCUCCGUAAUGAAAACCUACAAGCCACAGCUUUAAGUAUCAACAAAUUGACAUCCAUUGACCCAAUAUAUUGACUAAUGAAC
rnacentral:rRNA from 1 species